AGGCAACGGGCGCGUGCUAUACAUGCAAGUCGUACGCACUGGCCCAACUGAUUGAUGGUGCUUGCACCUGAUUGACGAUGGAUCACCAGUGAGUGGCGGACGGGUGAGUAACACGUAGGUAACCUGCCCCGGAGCGGGGGAUAACAUUUGGAAACAGAUGCUAAUACCGCAUAACAACAAAAGCCACAUGGCUUUUGUUUGAAAGAUGGCUUUGGCUAUCACUCUGGGAUGGACCUGCGGUGCAUUAGCUAGUUGGUAAGGUAACGGCUUACCAAGGCGAUGAUGCAUAGCCGAGUUGAGAGACUGAUCGGCCACAAUGGAACUGAGACACGGUCCAUACUCCUACGGGAGGCAGCAGUAGGGAAUCUUCCACAAUGGGCGCAAGCCUGAUGGAGCAACACCGCGUGAGUGAAGAAGGGUUUCGGCUCGUAAAGCUCUGUUGUUGGAGAAGAACGUGCGUGAGAGUAACUGUUCACGCAGUGACGGUAUCCAACCAGAAAGUCACGGCUAACUACGUGCCAGCAGCCGCGGUAAUACGUAGGUGGCAAGCGUUAUCCGGAUUUAUUGGGCGUAAAGCGAGCGCAGGCGGUUGCUUAGGUCUGAUGUGAAAGCCUUCGGCUUAACCGAAGAAGUGCAUCGGAAACCGGGCGACUUGAGUGCAGAAGAGGACAGUGGAACUCCAUGUGUAGCGGUGGAAUGCGUAGAUAUAUGGAAGAACACCAGUGGCGAAGGCGGCUGUCUGGUCUGCAACUGACGCUGAGGCUCGAAAGCAUGGGUAGCGAACAGGAUUAGAUACCCUGGUAGUCCAUGCCGUAAACGAUGAGUGCUAGGUGUUGGAGGGUUUCCGCCCUUCAGUGCCGGAGCUAACGCAUUAAGCACUCCGCCUGGGGAGUACGACCGCAAGGUUGAAACUCAAAGGAAUUGACGGGGGCCCGCACAAGCGGUGGAGCAUGUGGUUUAAUUCGAAGCUACGCGAAGAACCUUACCAGGUCUUGACAUCUUGCGCUAACCUUAGAGAUAAGGCGUUCCCUUCGGGGACGCAAUGACAGGUGGUGCAUGGUCGUCGUCAGCUCGUGUCGUGAGAUGUUGGGUUAAGUCCCGCAACGAGCGCAACCCUUGUUACUAGUUGCCAGCAUUAAGUUGGGCACUCUAGUGAGACUGCCGGUGACAAACCGGAGGAAGGUGGGGACGACGUCAGAUCAUCAUGCCCCUUAUGACCUGGGCUACACACGUGCUACAAUGGACGGUACAACGAGUCGCAAGCUCGCGAGAGUAAGCUAAUCUCUUAAAGCCGUUCUCAGUUCGGACUGUAGGCUGCAACUCGCCUACACGAAGUCGGAAUCGCUAGUAAUCGCGGAUCAGCAUGCCGCGGUGAAUACGUUCCCGGGCCUUGUACACACCGCCCGUCACACCAUGGGAGUUUGUAACGCCCAAAGUCGGUGGCCUAACCUUUAUGGAGGGAGCCGCCUAAGCGAACAGAUUGGGC
rnacentral:rRNA from 1 species